GGGGAAUGACGUCCGGUCCGAACGAGCCACGGCUGCUGCUGCGCCGCCGCGGGCUUCGGACCAGGCUUCAUUCCCC
rnacentral:pre_miRNA from 1 species